GUUUUUAUAAUUUAAAUAAAAUAUUGGUCUUGUAAAUCAAAAAAAAGAAAUUUUCUUUAAAAACA
rnacentral:tRNA from 1 species